GACGAACGCUGGCGGCGUGCUUAACACAUGCAAGUCGAACGAAGAGCGAUGGAAGCUUGCUUCUAUCAAUCUUAGUGGCGAACGGGUGAGUAACGCGUAAUCAACCUGCCCUUCAGAGGGGGACAACAGUUGGAAACGACUGCUAAUACCGCAUACGAUCUAAUCUCGGCAUCGAGGAUAGAUGAAAGGUGGCCUCUACACGUAAGCUAUCACUGAAGGAGGGGAGUGCGUCUGAUUAGCUAGUUGGAGGGGUAACGGCCCACCAAGGCGAUGAUCAGUAGCCGGUCUGAGAGGAUGAACGGCCACAUUGGGACUGAGACACGGCCCAGACUCCUACGGGAGGCAGCAGUGGGGAAUCUUGGGCAAUGGACGAAAGUCUGACGGAGCAACGCCGCGUGAGUGAUGACGGCCUUCGGGUUGUAAAGCUCUGUUAAUCGGGGCGAAAGGCCUUCUUGCGAAUAGUGAGAAGGAUUGACGGUACCGGAAUAGAAAGCCACGGCUAACUACGU
rnacentral:rRNA from 1 species